AAUAGACAGGAAGAGUCUCACGACAAUUCUGGUUACAAAGGAAAAGGAAAAAUGCCCCUCUUUCCUAAUUGUCUCAAAAGUAAUCCUGUUUAGCCUCAGACUUUCCUAGUGCCAAGUUUGGCCCACUAGUUAAUUCACAUAGACUGGCUUCAGCUACUUUUUUCCUUACUCUCUACUAGGAGGGUAGGUGGGAUACCAAGAGUAGAGGGCUCUAAGAAAACAGAGAAGAGGAAUGUGAAAGUAAUAUCUGGGGGGAGACAGAGACUGAAUUCAGAGAGUUGUCAGCUGGUAUAACUGAAUGGACCCAAGAGGCAGCCUAAGGAUUUUAAGCCUCCAUGCAGAAUUUUCGUCACCUUUUCCCUCCCAAAAUCCAUAAAAUGAAUUGAUUUCAAGAUCCGCACUGUGGAUAUAGAGGGGAAGAAGAUCAAACUACAAGUCUGGGACACGGCUGGCCAAGAGCGGUUCAAGACAAUAACUACUGCCUACUACCGUGGAGCCAUGGGCAUUAUCCUAGUAUACGACAUCACGGAUGAGAAAUCUUUCGAGAAUAUUCAGAACUGGAUGAAAAGCAUCAAGGAGAAUGCCUCGGCUGGGGUGGAGCGCCUCUUGCUGGGGAACAAAUGUGACAUGGAGGCCAAGAGGA
rnacentral:lncRNA from 1 species